rnacentral:rRNA from 1 species
UUGUUCCUACGGGAGGCAGCAGUGGGGAAUAUUGCGCAAUGGGGGAAACCCUGACGCAGCAACGCCGCGUGAGUGAAGAAGUAUCUCGGUAUGUAAAGCUCUAUCAGCGGGGAAGAAGGAAGACGGUACCCGACUAAGAAGCCCCGGCUAACUACGUGCCAGCAGCCGCGGUAAUACGUAGGGGGCGAGCGUUAUCCGGAUUUACUGGGUGUAAAGGGAGCGUAGACGGCGGCGCAAGUCUGAAGUGAAAGCCCGUGGCUCAACCGCGGAACCGCUUUGGAAACUGCGAGGCUGGAGUGCUGGCG